rnacentral:rRNA from 1 species
CAGUGGCGAACGGGUGCGUAACACGUGGGCAAUCUGCCUUAAAGUGGGGGAUAGCUCGCCGAAAGGCGAAUUAAUACCGCAUGUGGUGAGGGACGACAUCUUCCUGAAUCCAAAGCCGGGGCAACCUGGCGCUUUUUGAGGAGCCCGCGGCCUAUCAGCUAGUUGGUGAGGUAACGGCCCACCAAGGCUUUGACGGGUAGCUGGUCUGAGAGGACGACCAGUCACACUGGAACUGAGACACGGUCCAGACACCUACGGGUGGCAGCAGUCGAGAAUUUUUCUCAAUGGGGGCAACCCUGAAGGAGCGACGCCGCGUGGAGGAUGAAGGCUCUCGGGUUGUAAACUCCUGUCAUUUGGGAACAAGUGGCCGAACUUAACUGCUUCGGCCUUGAUAGUACCAGAAGAGGAAGGGACGGCUAACUCUGUGCCAGCAGCCGCGGUGAUACAGAGGUCCCAAGCGUUGUUCGGAUUCAUUGGGCGUAAAGGGUGCGUAGGUGGCGCCGUAAGUCGGGUGUGAAAUUUCGGAGCUUAACUCCGAAACUGCAUUCGAUACUGCGGUGCUUGAGGACUGGAGAGGAGACUGGAAUUCAUGGUGUAGCAGUGAAAUGCGUAGAGAUCAUGAGGAAGACCAGUGGCGAAGGCGGGUCUCUGGACAGUUCC